GAGGGUGUAGCUCAGUGGUAGAAAGCAUGCUUAGCAUGCAUGAGGUCAUGGGUUCAAUCCUCAGUACCUCCA
rnacentral:tRNA from 1 species